rnacentral:rRNA from 1 species
AGGAAUAUUGAGCAAUGGGCGCAAGCCUGACUCAGCAACGCCGCGUGGAUGAUGACGGCCUUCGGGUUGUAAAAUCCUUUUCUGGGGAAAGAUAAUGACGGUACCCCAGGAAUAAGUUCCGGCUAACUACGUGCCAGCAGCCGCGGUAAAACGUAGGGGACAAGCGUUAUCCGGAUUUACUGGGCGUAAAGCGCAUGUAGGUGGCUUGACAAGUUGGACGUGAAAGCUCCCGGCUUAACUGGGAGAGGUCGUUCAAAACUGGCAGGCUAGAGGUUGGAAGAGGAGAGCGGAAUUCCCGGUGUAGUGGUGGAAUGCGUAGAUAUCGGGAGGAACACCAGUGGCGAAAGCGGCUCUCUGGUUCAAUACUGACACUGAGAUGCGAAAGCGUGGGGAGCGAACGGGAUUAGAUACCCCGGUAGUCCACGCUGUAUACGAUGGAGACUAGGUGUAGGCGGUCAUUAACCCCGUCUGUGCCGAAGCCAACGCGUUAAGUCUCCCGCCUGGGGACUACGGCCGCAAGGUUA